rnacentral:lncRNA from 1 species
UUUUUUUUUUUUAAAGUUUCAUUCACUUUUUGCUCAGGUUUUGUUUGCCCAGGUUUUGUUCAGUUUUCUUCAGAUUUGGCUUAGUCACUUUUAGUAAGAUUUUCUUUUUUUUUUUAGAUACCCUGUAGUGACCCAGAGCAACCCCUGGCCACCUCAUAUUGCCCCAUAGAGCCCAGUAGAUCCCUUCUAUGCCCCCCCAGCCUCAUAGACUCCCUAUAGAUAUCCCGUAGGGUCUCAGAGCGACCCAUAGGCACCCUACAUGAACUCUUGAUGAACCACGGAGAUGCCAUAGUGAUCUCCAGACACCCAUAGGCGGCUCCUAGUGACCUAUAGACAUCCCAUAGCCAUCCACAGCACCCCAUGGACACCCUAUAGACAUCCCAUAGAGAGUCACAGUGACUGAUAGACACCCCACAGCAACCCAUGGAUACUCCAAAGUGACUCACAGAUGUCCCAUAGAGGCUCAUAGAUCCCCGUAAUGACCCACUGCAACCUACAGAUAUCCCAUAGCCACCCUAUAGAGAGCCCCGGACCCCUUGUAGCUUGCCACGACCACCCAUAGACACCCCAUAGAGACACACAGCAACUGCUAGAUCCCCCAUAGACCCACAUGUGGCCACAUGACAACGCAUAGAGCUCUAUACGCACCCUGCACUGCCACCUAGCAGCUUAUAGACCCCCUCCCCACUGCGCCAUAGUUCCUUAUAGAUGCACAACACACGCCUCACGGCUUUUAUUGACUUAUGGUGUUGUGAUGUCACUGGGGCCGUGAUGACAUCAUAGAAUCAUAGAAUCGUAAGGGUUGGAAAGGACCUUAAGAUCAUCUAGUUCCAACCCCCCUGCCAUGGGCAGGGACACCUUGCCCUAAACCACGUGGUUCAAGGCUCUGUCCAACCUGGCCUUGAACACCGCCAGGGAUGGAGCAUCCACAACCUCCCUGGGCAACCCAUUCCAGUGCUUCACCACCCUCACUGUAAAGAACUUCUUCCUUAUAUCUAGUCUAAACUUCCCCUGUUUAAGUUUGAACCCAUUACCCCUUGUCCUACCACUACAGUCCCUAAGGAAGAGUCCCUCCCCAGCAUCCUUGUAUCAUCCGCAUCAUCAAUAGCACGGCACCCUAUAGGGACCUCCAAGAGCCCCAUGGGGGGUCCGCAAGUGCCCUAUGGGGCUCCCAGUACUCCCCCGCACCCCGUAAGUACCCCAAUACCAAUCAAUUUUUUUUUUUUGUUGACUUUCAUUCAUUUUUAUUUGAGUUUUAUUUAGGCUUGUUCAUUUUUAUUCAGUUUUAUUCACUGUUUAACCACUUUAUUCACUUUAAUCAGUUGCUGUGGGUCUCUAUGGGGUGUCUAUGGGUGGCCGUGGCUCACUAUAGGGUGUCUAUGGGGUAUAUAUAGGUCGCAAUGGGUCACUAUGGGGAUCUAUGGGUCUCUAUGGGGCAUCUAUGAGUCACUGUGGAGUAUCCAUGGGUCGCUGUGGGGUGUCUAUAGGGACUCUAUGAGGCUGGGGGUCCUAUAAAGGAUCGAAGGGGGUGUCUGUGGGAUGUCCAGGGGUUGCUCUGGGUCACUAUGGGGAAUCUAAAAAAGAAAAUGUUACUAAAAGUGACUAAAUCAAAUCGCAAGAAAACUGAA